rnacentral:rRNA from 1 species
CAGUCUACAUAAACGAUGCCAACCAGCGAUUAGCCUGAGUUCCUUAAAUGACUCGACUAGCAGCUUCCGGGAAACCAAAGUUUUUCGUUUCCGGGGGAAGUAUGGUUGCAAAGCUGAAACUUAAAGGAAUUGACGGAAGGGCACCACCAGGAGUGGAGCCUGCGGCUUAAUUUGACUCAACACGGGAAAACUCACCCGGCCCGGACACCGUAAGGAUUGACAGACUGAGAGCUCUUUCUUAAUUCGGUGGGUGGUGGUGCAUGGCCGUUCUUAGUUGGUGGAGCGAUUUGUCUGGUUAAUUCCGAUAACGAACGAGACUCUGGCCUAUUAAAUAGUCGGUAUAUCCAGAAAAGUUUACCGUACUUCUUAGAGGGACAAACGGCGUCUAGCCGCGUGAAAUAGAGCAAUAACAGGUCUGUGAUGCCCUUAGAUGUCCGGGGCUGCACGCGCGCUACACUGAAAGAAUCAGUAUGCGCUUUAACCUAGUCCGGAAGGAUUGGGUAACCCGAGCAAAUUCUUUCGUGCUUGGGAUAGGGAAUUGCAAUUAUUUCCCUUAAACGAGGAAUUCCCAGUAAAUGCGGGUCAUAAGCUCGCGUUGAUUACGUCCCUGCCCUUUGUACACACCGCCCGUCGCUACUACCGAUUGGAUGACUUAGUGAGGUCUUAGGACCGACGUAAAGGAGCUUUCGCGAGUUCUUUUUCGUUGGAAAUUUGAUCGAACUACGUUAUCUAGAGGAAGUAAAAGUCGUAACAAGGUUUCCGUAGUGAACCUGCGGAAGGAUCA